GCCAGGUGUGGUGGCUCACGCCUGUAAUUCCAGCAUUUUGGGAGGCUGAGGCAGGAGGAUCGCUUGAGGCCAGGAGUUCAAGACCAGCCUGGCCAAUAUGGUGAAACCCUGUCUCUC
rnacentral:SRP_RNA from 1 species